rnacentral:rRNA from 1 species
AGGCACCCCGCCGCCCCCGCCUUCCUCUCCCUCGUCUCUUCUUUCUCCCAGAUACGAUCGAAGCACCGCCGACCUCUCCACCAUCUCCUUCCCGUCCCCCAUCGCGCCGCCAUCCACCUCGUUGCCUCCCAUCUCCUCCCGCCCCCUCCCUCCCCCACCUUCCCCUUUCGCCCCUCCUUCCCGGACCCCGAGGGCGCCCGCAUCGGCUCUGGCGCCACCACGCUCCAUGCCGUCGCCUCCCUCGCCCGCCACCUCGUCUCCCAGGCCACCAAGGAAGAGAUCGCCGAAUUCCUCCCCGAAGCGACCGGCUCCUCCGCAUCCGUGGUGUGCUUCAUGGCCACCAAGCACGUGCUGCUGCUGCACGCCGGCGGCGACAGCAAGAGGGUUCCGUUGGCGAACCCCAUGGGGAAGGCCUUCCUGCCGGUGCCUUACCUGGCCGGGGCAACCCCGACGGGCCUGUCCCGCUGCUCUUCGACCACAUCAGGGGGGUCCAACGCAAGGCAAUCAUUCAAGACCGGCAUCGGCAAGUCCAACCUGCCCUCCCGCUUCACCCGCAACGAGUUCAGCCUCGAGUCCAAGUCCACCAUCAGGGGGGUCGAGUUCGCCACCCGCUCCCUCUAGGUCGACGGCAAGGUCGUCAAGGCCCAGAUUUGGGACACCGUCGGCUCUUCCUAUCCCCGUCUGUUCGGCAGCAGUUGUGGAGACCAUGGAUGGGACUAUCGCAGAAGCACCGUUUUGCCUUUUUCAGUUAGAUGCCUUUGGAUUGCUUGGCAUCAGACCCUGUUCAAGGAGAUUUGCUUUUGCCCUGGAUGCAAAUGGACAUCAUGAUUCUGUUAUGCGCCGAGGUCGGUGGUUGAAUUCUUGAUUGGUGUGGAACACAAUGGACAGGGCAAAAUCAGUGUGCUUUGAAACGUAGGGCGAAUCUUGUGGAGGAGUAGGGCGAAUCGGACAUUGUCUCGCUUGUGCCGCUCUGAUAACAUGCUGAAUGUUGUUCAUGCGACUGUGUAUGAAUCUUCUGUACGUGCAGAUUAUCAGGCAUUUUUAAUGCUGCUGAGGGUGUAACAUAGUGUUCCAACCAACAGCAGAAAAAUCAGUUUGAUGUAUGGAUGCUUCAUGCGGUGGUAGCUAAUGAUCUCUGUACUGAUGACAAUUUUGUGAUCGGGAUAUAAUGUCGUCGAGGUGGCUGCUGCUCUUACCGAAGAUCAGAAGAAGCUUAGAUAUGUGCACCAAGUUUUAGUUGAUGUUGCCACCAAGUUUUGGUGCAUGUGUAUUUGUUUUUUGAUUGUAUGUGCACUUGUUGGAUCGUCCAGUAUGUGCUAUUGUACAUGUGCUAUUGUGAGUUUCAUUGAUCGAUUUUUGGAUUUGAUUAUUUAAUUGAAAGAAUGUUUUGGUUGUUGCUG